rnacentral:rRNA from 1 species
UACGUAGGGGCAAGCGUUGUCCGGAAUUAUUGGGCGUAAAGCGCGCGCAGGCGGUCCUUUAAGUCUGAUGUGAAAGCCCACGGCUUAACCGUGGAGGGUCAUUGGAAACUGAGGGACUUGAGUACAGAAGAGGAGAGUGGAAUUCCACGUGUAGCGGUGAAAUGCGUAGAGAUAUGGAGGAACACCAGUGGCGAAGGCGGCUUCCUGGUCUGUAACUGACACUGAGGCGCGAAAGCGUGGGGAGCAAACAGGAUUAGAUACCCGGGUAGUCCCUGA